GAGUCGAGUGGUUCCGAGGGCGCACGGAGUCCGACAUAUUCUGAUCGUCUUCCAAAUGUUGAGCCCGAGUCGCCAAGUGCUGCUCUUGAGGGGGGCGAGGUUUGAAGGGAGGGACGCGCCGAGACAGAAAACGUGCAGCAUUAUUCCCGCAGAUCCCUGCUUGUGAAGGGCGCCCUGCGAGCGCACUGCGCCUCUGAAGGUUGAAGAAGCAAAAGAGACAUCCACGAUGAUGAUGAAAGUGGUAGCACUCAGCUUUCUCAUCACUGCAGCUAUGUCUGCCCCAUUAAUAGGUA